UAAUUUGCGGUUUUUACGGGCAGAUUUUGAAUCAACGACCCUGAACACCUCUAUUUAUAGCAAAGUGUAUUGCAUAAUCCAGGAAUGGUCCUCCAUUGUUCCAAUCAUUUUGGUCUGGUAAUUUAGUCUCCCCUCUCCUUCAAAGCCCUAUCCAUCAAUGUAUGAGUUAUUGUUUAAGAUUAACAGAAUUCUGCGUUAUCUGCAGCUUCUGUAAUUUGGGUUUCUCAGUUCUCUGCUUAAACAGGUUUGGUCUUCAUCCAUGAGUGACAUCAAAGAAAAACUCUUUGGGAAGUGGAAAUGAAAUCAAACUCAAACAACAUGCAUACAACGCCUGUGAAGAUAAUCUUAAACAAAUCAUGAAGAGAGAGAGAGAGAGAGAGAGAGCAAAGAUUAAUAUUACAACAUAUCACAAUGUUGGGGUUUAUUUGUUUUUGAUACUUUCAUGUUUCUUAAUUCUUAUAACAUGACAGGUCUCAUGUUAGACAAAUGAAUUCAAAAAUUAAAAUUUUCGGAGGGGUUGGUGAUUGUUUUAUGUGAUAAGAUUCUAAUAGUAAUUCGAUUUGAAUUGAAUAAACAAGACCUAUCAUGUUAAUAGCACAGCAAACUUGUGAGGAUCCCAAUUCUGAGUUUAUUUGUCAAUUUGGUUGAGCUUGCCAAGACCAUUGCAACGAGGACAAACGAUCUGGGCCUGGUCUUUCCGAGCAGCAUUAGCCCUCAGAGCUGCUCCUGACUUCCUAAUGAAACCCGCUCCAUCACAUUCAGGACACCUGCGACGAGCAAUUCGGCGUCAAAAGACACUCUUUAGAAUCAAGGAAACAGACGAAGAAGCAAAAUGCCCAAUAAAUUUCACAUUUAAUUAGCUUUGCAAGGACUAUUAAACUGGAAUUAGGACAAUUAGAUAGAGUGAGUGAAUUAC
rnacentral:lncRNA from 1 species